GGCACAGGCCCUGGCGGAUGGCCGUGAGUGGCGGCAGCGCGUGGUGGAACUGGAGACGCAGGACAACAUCCACCGCAACCUGCUGAACCGGGUGGAGGCGGAACGCGCGGCUCUGCAGGAGAAGUUGCAGUACCUGGCAGCACAGAACAAGGGACUCCAGACUCAGCUCAGCGAAAGCCGCCGCAAGCAGGCCGAGGCUGAGUGCAAGAGUAAGGAGGAAGUGAUGGCUGUGCGCCUUCGGGAGGCAGACAGCAUGGCUGCAGUGGCGGAGAUGAGGCAGCGCAUCGCAGAGCUGGAGAUCCAGAGGGAGGAGGGCCGCAUCCAGGGCCAGCUGAACCAUUCGGAUUCAUCGCAGUACAUCCGUGAGCUGAAGGACCAGAUUGAGGAGCUGAAGACUGAGGUUCGGUUGCUGAAAGGCCCACCCACAUUCGAGGACCCGCUGGCUUUCGAUGGGCUGAGCCUAACGCGGCACCUGGACGAGGAUUCGCUACCGUCUUCUGAUGAGGAGCUGCUUGGUGUGGGUGUGGGCGUGGGCGUGGGCGCAGCCCUGCAGGACCCACUCUACCCUCUGUCUCCCCGGGACGCACGCUUCUUCAGAAGUCUGGACCGGCCAGCCAAGGACAGCGAAGGCAGCUCAGACAGCGAUGCAGAUGAGCUAGCCACGCCUUACAGCAACCAGGUCCUGGACAACUGAAGCUGGGGGCCCACUCACUGGGAGCCUAGAGGCCCACAUUGCUGUGAGGAGAGAGCAGCAGUCCAUGACCUUGCUGCUCCACAGUACUAAGGAACUCUGUGCCUCUGUAACUCCCGCCAACUGAGGGCCAGGUGGAGGAGGCAGCACAGAGGGCAGGGCCUACUGGCAGGCCUGGCCCACAUAGCAGUGUUUACCCGUUUUAGACCAUAUCGUCCAAGCCCUCCUGAGUUCAAGGGGUGCAUGGGCCAGUUACCUGGAGGGUGUUGCUCUCCUAACAUGGACAAGGGCCGAAAGUGCAGAGGUCCCAGGACUUGUUAAUAAGCAGGGAACUUCCUCUUCCUAGUCAGCUUCCCUUUGGGACAAGGGUGGCCCUGCUGGGUGGGGCCCAGGAACUACAGUAGGUCUGAGGAAGGAGGGGUAACUUGGACUGGAUAUAGCACCCUAGGACAGGUUCUUUGGACACAGUGAUAUUGAACAGCCAGCCCCUUGCCAC
rnacentral:lncRNA from 1 species